rnacentral:lncRNA from 1 species
GCUUCUUAGGCCUCCCUCUACCUCGCCGACCACCAACAAUCACCAACCGCUCGCAGCUCCUCACCGGGGCAUCGGGGCCCCUCCUCCGUACAUGCCCGAACCACCUCAGCCUCGCUUCCCCCAUCUUCUCGUCCACCGGGGCCGCCCCUACCUUCUGUCGAAUAACUUCGUACUUAAUCUUAUUUGCCUGGUGUGCCCACACAUCCACCUAAGCAUCCUCAUCUCCGCAACCUUCAUUCUCUGAACAUGAGAGUUCUUCACGGGCCAGCACUCCGCCCCAUACANNN